AACGAACGCUGGCGGCAGGCCUAACACAUGCAAGUCGAGCGAGCAUUUCGGUGCUAGCGGCGGACGGGUGAGUAACGCGUGGGAACGUGCCCUUUUCUGCGGAAUAGUCCUGGGAAACUGGGGGUAAUACCGCAUACGCCCUUUUGGGGAAAGAUUUAUCGGAGAAGGAUCGACCCGCGUUGGAUUAGGUAGUUGUUGGGGUAAUGGCCCACCAAGCCGACGAUCCAUAGCUGGUUUGAGAGGAUGAUCAGCCACACUGGGACUGAGACACGGCCCAGACUCCUACGGGAGGCAGCAGUGGGGAAUCUUAGACAAUGGGGGCAACCCUGAUCGAGCCAGGCCGGGUGAGUGAUGAAGGCCUUAGGGUUGUAAAGCUCUUUCAGCUGGGAAGAUAAUGACGGUACCAGCAGAAGAAGCCCCGGCUAACUCCGUG
rnacentral:rRNA from 1 species